UAGGGAAUCUUCGGCAAUGGACGAAAGUCUGACCGAGCAACGCCGCGUGAGUGAAGAAGGUUUUCGGAUCGUAAAACUCUGUUGUUAGAGAAGAACAAGGACGUUAGUAACUGAACGUCCCCUGACGGUAUCUAACCAGAAAGCCACGGCUAACUACGUGCCAGCAGCCGCGGUAAUACGUAGGUGGCAAGCGUUGUCCGGAUUUAUUGGGCGUAAAGCGAGCGCAGGCGGUUUCUUAAGUCUGAUGUGAAAGCCCCCGGCUCAACCGGGGAGGGUCAUUGGAAACUGGGCGACUUGAGUGCAGAAGAGGAGAGUGGAAUUCCAUGUGUAGCGGUGAAAUGCGUAGAUAUAUGGAGGAACACCAGUGGCGAAGGCGGCUCUCAGGUCUGUAACUGACGCUGAGGCUCGAAAGCGUGGGGAGCAAACAGG
rnacentral:rRNA from 1 species